rnacentral:lncRNA from 1 species
ACAUGCUACUGUAAGCCGUGCCUUGAACAAAAAAGUUUUUAAGACAAACAGAAGUUUGUGAAAGACAGACUUCACCAAAAAAAGGUAAUUUAACUAUCAGUAUUAGAACUGCAAUAGAUGAAGAUAUGAGGAUAUUUGUCAAAAAGGCAGACAACAGAUGACAUAGCAAGAAUAUUUAACAUUUCAGUGUCACAUGUACCUUGAACAAAUAGAUAAACAUUAGUGAGUGAGUGAGAGAGAGAGAGAGAGAGAGAGGAUAACUUCCUCCAUCAGAAGAAUCAGUUCUGUAUAAAGUAAGCUGCUGAGGAAAUUAACAGCUGUAACUUUCAGCACAAAGAUGUGAAAGACAUAUUUUGGGUAAAUGAUGAUGCUUGCAAGAUGUCAGUACAUCAGAUGACUUGUAUGCAAAGUGAUGAAAAGCAUUGUUAAUAUUACCCCAAACCAGUCCCAUAUCAUCUCUUAAAACAAAGGUGAUAUAUGGUAUAUUUCAAUAUUAGUCACUGCUAGACCAAUAUAUCAACAUAUUAAGAAUCUUUAAUUUUCAUAAGGUCAGGAGUCAAAUUAAUUUGUAAUGGUUGCAUUAUUGUAAACACAGGCUAGUUAAAUAUAGGAGAACCACCCAGAGGUCAUUGUUUCAGCUCUUUUCUUAUUUGGUAACAGCAGCUCAAUUAGGUAACCCAAUAGGAAAAG